UCUCGUCCUCUCUCUCUUCAAGGAGCCGAUGCUCUCUUCUUCUCAAGAUCGGCGCUCGGCCACCUCUCAAAUCCGGCCGGCUUUCUCUUCCUCGGCUGUUCAGCGGCCGUCUGCUAUCACCGGCGUCAGCCUUCCACGCGUCUAACCCAACGCCGCCCUUUCUCUUCAUCGCAGAUCCCUAAUCGUCAAACCCAGGUCGCUGCUGUGGCCGCAUCCUCGUCUGAAAUCCGCCGGGCUGCUGUCGUCUGGGAGCGGCGCUGCUUCGCCUGGAGUCGCCGCCGGCUGGAGUUGCUGCUGUUCGUCCGGUGGUCAGUGCCGACUGCUGCUGUUUCGCCGGAGUCGCGGCCUGCUGGACUUCGUCUGCCGCUGCUCUGUGAACCGGCGGGAGUCGCCGUUGGCGUCGCGCUGCCUUUGCCCUAAAAUUGGCAAGGCUGUUGCUCGACGCUCCGCCUCCUCUAUUGGGAACUACCGCCUCCCUGUAACGUCGUUGGAAGCUGCUCCGUACUCGAGCCCCUGCUCUUCUUCCUCAGAAAUCAGCCGUCGCCGCCACUGAAGAAUCGGCGAGGUCUCCGUGCUCCCCUCAUUGUUUUCGUCCGGCAGGUAGCAAGCCAGAGGCUGCCACCGCCACCGCCAAGGGGCAGUCGCCCUCCUCCUCGUUUAUUGAAACAGGUGAGUAAAGAAUGAAUGGAGGUAGGUUGCUGCUGAAUUGUUUGCUUGAAGGAGUGUUGGCUAGUAGCCUUAAAGAAUCGAGAUGGUGGAGGUGGUUUGAAUAGGUGGGGAGCAAUAGGUAGUGGGGUGGCAGCACACUUAUUUUGCUUUCCACUAACUUUAUGGACAUUUCUUAUCUCUCUUCUUUAAUUGUUGUGCCAACUAGAGUGAGUGGCAGUAAGGUGGCCACGUAAAUUCAACCUUGUAAUAUACUAUAUGAUUUUCCCCAAGCUGGGAAGUAGACUGUAUUCGUGAACUAUAAUAAUAUACUGGCUUCUAUUCUCUAUCA